rnacentral:misc_RNA from 1 species
GAUGAAGAACGCAGCGAAAUGCGAUACGUAAUGUGAAUUGCAGAAUUCAGUGAAUCAUCGAAUCUUUGAACGCACAUUGCGCCCCUUGGUAUCCCGAGGGGCAUGCCUGUUCGAGCGUCAUUUCACCACUCAAGCCUGGCUUGGUGUUGGGCGACGUCCCCUUUGGGGACGCGCCUCGAAACGCUCGGCGGCGUGGCACCGGCUUUAAGCGUAGCAGAAUCUUUCGCUUUGGAAGUCGGGGCCCCGUCUGCCGGAAGACCUACUCGCAAGGUUGACCUCGGAUCAGGCAGGGAUACCCGCUGAACUUAAGCAUACAAUAAGCGGAGA